UAAUAAUCGUUUCGGAGGAGACUAGCGAUAAAGUGACUUCCGGAUAGCGUUCACGGAAAGGCUUAAUCAACGGCAUCAGAAAGUGCAGCACCACUGGAGUUGCGGCAUCGAUGCGCAACAGUCCACGCGGUGUAUUACGCGUCUCCAUAAUUUCUGAUUCUGCCGCUGCCAUCUCCUGCAAAAUUGACUGUACGCGACGAAAAUAACGCUGGCCUUCUUCCGUCAGGCUAAGUUGUCGCGUGGUCCGAUUAAGCAGGCUAACGCCAAGUUUCAUCUCCAGCUUUUUCACUGCCCGGCUUACCGCUGAGUUUGCUUGCCCUAAUUGUUCCGCUGCCCGGCUAAAGCUGCCGCUUUCUACGACCGAAACAAAAAUGGCGAGUUCUUCCGACGUGGCUUUCAUUUUUGCUCCUGUUGCAAAAUAGAAGAGAUAUUUUGAAUUUAUUUGUCAUUAAACCAUCAGGAUGCGUGAUAUGUCAUCCGAUUUAAUGUUCUCAAUAAUGAGCAAAAUUCUGACCUGUGUAAGCACUUGCUUACAUAACAAUAUACAAUUGCUCGUUGAAAGAGUGAGCUAAAAUCCCUAUAACAGUAGAACCCUCCCGAGUGCGGAAGGGUUGACGUAAUAGAGGUUUCAAAGUCAAAAGUGCGAAAAAACACCUAUGCCAUGCGCUAUGUUGCCGGACAACCUGCGGAAAGGAUCUUACCGCCGGGGUCUUUUGCGAGCAUCGGCCAGGCAUUACCACCUGGAGAACCGUUAAGUACCGAAGAGCGUAUUCGGAUCCUGGUGUGGAACAUAUACAAACAGCAACGCGCUGAAUGGUUGUCGGUAUUAAAGAACUACGGCAAAGAUGCACAUCUGGUGUUAUUGCAGGAAGCGCAGACAACGCCAGAGUUAGUACAGUUUGCGACCGCUAACUAUCUUGCCGCCGAUCAGGUGCCCGCUUUCGUGCUGCCACAACAUCCUUCCGGUGUAAUGACCCUUUCGGCGGCGCAUCCAGUGUAUUGCUGCCCGUUACGUGAACGAGAACCCAUUUUGCGUCUGGCGAAGUCGGCACUGGUGACGGUCUAUCCAUUACCUGACACCCGCCUGUUGAUGGUGGUUAAUAUACACGCCGUCAACUUCAGUCUGGGCGUGGAUGUCUAUAGUAAGCAGUUACUUCCUAUUGGUGAUCAGAUAGCUCACCACAGCGGCCCGGUCAUUAUGGCGGGAGAUUUCAAUGCCUGGAGCCGUAGAAGGAUGAACGCGUUAUAUCGCUUUGCGCGGGAAAUGUCGCUGCGCCAGGUGCGUUUUACCGAUGAUCAGCGCCGUCGGGCGUUUGGCCGCCCGCUCGAUUUUGUUUUCUACCGUGGUCUGAACGUCAGCGAAGCUUCUGUAUUGGUUACGCGCGCUUCCGAUCACAAUCCGCUACUCGUUGAANUGGAGCUGAAAUCAGUCGAAGAUACCAGCUGGCUGCAACUGUUUAUUAAAAACACAGCACUGUGCAAACACGAAAGUGGACGUAUACGGUGUGACGCCUGCCCGGUGCCGGAAGGUUAAUUGAUGGGGUCAGCGCAAGCGAAGCUCUUGAUCGAAGCCCCGGUAAACGGCGGCCGUAACUAUAACGGUCCUAAGGUAGCGAAAUUCCUUGUCGGGUAAGUUCCGACCUGCACGAAUGGCGUAAUGAUGGCCAGGCUGUCUCCACCCGAGACUCAGUGAAAUUGAACUCGCUGUGAAGAUGCAGUGUACCCGCGGCAAGACGGAAAGACCCCGUGAACCUUUACUAUAGCUUGACACUGAACAUUGAGCCUUGAUGUGUAGGAUAGGUGGGAGGCUUUGAAGUGUGGACGCCAGUCUGCAUGGAGCCGACCUUGAAAUACCACCCUUUAAUGUUUGAUGUUCUAACGUUGACCCGUGAUCCGGGUUGCGGACAGUGUCUGGUGGGUAGUUUGACUGGGGCGGUCUCCUCCUAAAGAGUAACGGAGGAGCACGAAGGUUGGCUAAUCCUGGUCGGACAUCAGGAGGUUAGUGCAAUGGCAUAAGCCAGCUUGACUGCGAGCGUGACGGCGCGAGCAGGUGCGAAAGCAGGUCAUAGUGAUCCGGUGGUUCUGAAUGGAAGGGCCAUCGCUCAACGGAUAAAAGGUACUCCGGGGAUAACAGGCUGAUACCGCCCAAGAGUUCAUAUCGACGGCGGUGUUUGGCACCUCGAUGUCGGCUCAUCACAUCCUGGGGCUGAAGUAGGUCCCAAGGGUAUGGCUGUUCGCCAUUUAAAGUGGUACGCGAGCUGGGUUUAGAACGUCGUGAGACAGUUCGGUCCCUAUCUGCCGUGGGCGCUGGAGAACUGAGGGGGGCUGCUCCUAGUACGAGAGGACCGGAGUGGACGCAUCACUGGUGUUCGGGUUGUCAUGCCAAUGGCACUGCCCGGUAGCUAAAUGCGGAAGAGAUAAGUGCUGAAAGCAUCUAAGCACGAAACUUGCCCCGAGAUGAGUUCUCCCUGACUCCUUGAGAGUCCUGAAGGAACGUUGAAGACGACGACGUUGAUAGGCCGGGUGUGUAAGCGCAGCGAUGCGUUGAGCUAACCGGUACUAAUGAACCGUGAGGCUUAACCUU
rnacentral:rRNA from 1 species